rnacentral:lncRNA from 1 species
CCGCGUCGACGCCGGCGUCGGACCUCCCGCCCGCGCCUGGUCCGGGAGGUGGGGAAGGAGACUGUGUGAGGUGCGUGGGUUCUAGGUCCUGCUCCCGGCCAGGUGCUGACGGUUGGCCCAGGCGAUGGCCGGUAUGUCCUACUUUAAUGCACUUUAUUUCUAAGGAAGUUGAAGAUUAGAUCAAUGAAAUGAUUUGCCUUGUGGAGUCCGUGUUAGAACCUGAAUUCAAGCCUGAGAUAUGUUUGACUCCAGGCCCUGGGUUCCUGGACUUCUCUUUCUCAAAUACAGUCCGCCUCACCUAUGGACACGUUUUAACAUAAGAUUUUGAAAAUUUUCUUCGAAUGCCUCUUUUACAUUUAGCCGUGUUUUCCAACUGUGUAAGUUUCUGAUUUCACAGCCACAGGGUAUUUUAAAGAUUAGCAAUAACUCCGCACAUAAUUGUUAAUUGGAUGAAUGAAUCGCUUCCAGGCCCAUCAUUUUACUGAUGAGGCAGCUAGUCGCCAUAAAGAAAUGAAAAUUAUACUCCACAUUCACACGGUUCGUUAUGGAAGCCAAAUUUAGAACCUAAAUCUCUUGCCUCGACUGACUCUAUUCCAGUUAAUUUUAUUAAUGAACAACAAAAAGGUGACACAAAUAGAGAUAAAUAUAAUAAACAAAGCAUGUUGCUUAGUUAAAAACUAAUGAUUGUAUAAAGUAAGUGUGAUUUGGAAAUUGGAUGACAUAUCUCUACUUUGACUUCGAAAAGUGCUUCACAGAUUAUGACAUUAGGAGAGACAGAAUAAGAUGAUUGCUAUGGCUUUAGUGAGGUAACCUGAUCUAAGCUACUUGUGGCUACAGGAGACAACCCCAGGGGUACCAACAGAUGAGGCGACUGGCUACCUAGGCACUACUUGGUCAUCCCAAGGGCUGAGAGGGUUAGUCUCUCAGCACACCUGCAACCAGGCUGGUAGAGAUUCAGCAUGCUUUUUGUAUAAGCAUACUGUUUAUUAAAAUGUUAAAAUUCUCCUACUCCAGUAGGUAACUAGCCAGUUCCCAAAAUGCUCUGGUUACCCCUCCUACUAAACACUUCUCUCUAGUCCCAAAUCUCUAAAUUGCCCUAUCGUACAGAAACAAAAGGUAAAUAAAUCCUAGGCAGCAGGAUGCCUCCAGGAAUCCAUUUCCUUGUCAGUCCUCUGCCUUGACCCAGCACUGUGUCCUGACACACUGGUUAGACAAUGCACUCUUAGAAAAUUUAAUUAUUUAAUUUUUUUCCUGGAAAAUUUUGAUUAAUUACUUAUUUAAUUCCUAUUAGGCAUUCUAAGAUACUGAAACGUUACUUGAAGUUAUUAGCUAACCAUUUAAUAUCUCAAUAAUACAGUAAUAGUUAUAAAAUAUAAUGAAUAACAUUUUUAAAUCAAGUAUUACAAUAGAAUUUCUACAUGUGCAAUCGGUGGUGGGAAGUAAAAUAUAUUGUUUUAAACUAUAGGCUAUAGAGCUAGACAGAUCUAGAUUUGGAUAUUGCUUCUAUACUUAGCUAACUCUAUGGAGGAUGAAAGGCCUCUGAGAUUCCAUUGCUUUAUUUAUGGUAUGGAGAUGAUAAUCUUUUUUUUCAAAGAUUGGCCUCUGAGUUAACAUCUGUUACCCAUCUUCCUCUUUUUGUUUUCAUUCUUCCUCUUCCCAAAGCCCCCCUUACAUAGUUGUGUAUUCUAGUUGUAGGUCCUUCUGUCUCUGUUAUGUGGGAUGCCUCCUCAGCAUGGCCUGAUGAGCGGCACUAGGUCUGUGCCCAGGAUCUGAACCAGGGAAACCCUGGGCUGCCAAAGUGGAGUGUGCAAACUUAACCACUCAGCCAUGUGGCUGGCCUCGGGAUAAUCUUAAAUGCCCCUUUCUUCACCCCUACCCCCAUGUCAGCCAAUGGAUCCUGCCCCAGUGGAUUACUAUAUGAUACCUAACAUUUUAAAUCUGAAUAGAAUCUUACCAUGCAUUUUCCCUUUAUUUUUGACUUAAUUUUUUUUCCCAGCAUUUAAAAUUCCUCUCAAUGGAAGUGUAAUAUUAUAGGUGUCUCUCUGGGAAAAUUCAGCUGAUAGUAUUCUUUAGAGAACAUUUCAGAAGAAACUUCAUGAUCUUUAAAAGCUCAGAUUCCUCAGAAUGCGAGCUUGAUGUAUUUUGCAGACAAAGUAUUUUACUCUCCUUUAAAUCAAAUCCUUUGUGCUAAAUAAAAAGGGGCAGAAAAUUAUGCUUGUUAGAAUAGAUGUGGAUAGUCUCCUAUUGCAAUCGUUCUUGUGGAUGCUUUCCAUGGAUGGUUGUUCUGCAUAAUGUUGGGGUAAAACUAGUAAUAUUGUAUCCAAUAGGGAAAAUGAUAAAUAGAUUGUUUUACAUUGUUACGUCACCUAUUUCUCUAUUUAUUUUUUGAGGAAGAUUAGCCCUGACCUAACAUCUGCUGCCAAUCCUUUUCUUUUUGCUGAGGAAGACUGGCCCUGAGCUAAGAUCCAUGCCCAUCUUCCUCUACUUUAUAUGUGGGGUGCCUGCCACAGCAUGGCUUGACAAGUGGUGCAUAGGUUUGCACCUGGGAUCCAAAGGGGCAAACCCUGGGCCACCAAAGUGGGUUGUGCAAACUUAACCACUGCGCCACAGGGCCAUCCCCCACCUAUUUCUAUAAAUAUCAAUAAUAAUAUGUAAGGCUGGUAAAUUUGUGGGGGAAAAGCUGACAUUCAUGAGAUGUCUCUUUUUAUUUAAAAUUAUGUUAACAUAAACCAUAGAAAAAGACAUGAAGUUUUUGUUAUUAAGAUGUUUUUGCUUUAAAUGUUAUAUGGUCAAAAAUUCUGUAGUCUCUCAAUAAAGUAUGAUAAAUAUUUGGUAUUUUCAGAGUAUGAGCUGAUAAAAUUGUGUACACACUAGAAAAAGUGAUUUAAAUUUAAAAAGUAUGUCUUUAAUUAAAGAAUUAAAAAUCACAAACAGGAAGACAAAAAGCAGAAAGAGCAGAGAUGGCGACAUUAACUGUAUAGAUGAGAAAAGAUUAAAAUAGUAGAGACUUUAUUAAAGGAAAAGAAAUAAUACAAAACUGUAAAAGGAAUUUUUUAAAUCAUUUUUAAAUGGACUUUAGGAGAAGUUUAAUGCAGCUUUAAAAUCUACACUUGAUUUGGGUUAAAUAAAACCAAAACUGAAAUUUUCUUAAAGUUUCAACAUUCUGGAACUCAAGAAAAAGUAUCAACUGAAAUGUUUUCAAGCACAUUUCUAAGAGAAAACUGUGUGAUUCAUGGUUAAUUAAUGAACAGUUAAGAUUCUUAUUAUUGUUUUGUAAUGACUUAUGCAAAUAAACAAGAUAUAAUCUUCCUUCAAUUUUUCCCUUAUAUCCUUAACAUAUUUUAGCACUUUUCAUACUAAAUGUUGUUCUUGUUCUGAAAAAAUAAAUAUGCAUAGUUUUGUGUUGUUGAAUGUCAUAUGUUUUGCAUGCAUACUUAACCAAAAUUAGAUAUUUUACUUUUGUUUUUAUUUGAAAUAAAUUAUUUGGACAAAUAAAUUUAGCUAUAAAAGACAACUUAAAAACUAACUAGAGGUGCUGGCCAGGUGGUGUAGUGGAUAAGUUUGCACUCUGCUUUGGCACUUUGUGGGUUUGGAUCCUGGGUGCAGACCUACACACCACUUAUCAAGCCAUGCUGUGGCAGUGUCUGUCCCACAUACAAAAUAGAGGAAGUUUGGCACAGAUGCUAGUUCAAGGACAAUCUUCCUCAAGCAAAAAGAGGAGGAUUGGCAACAGAUGUUAGCUCCAAUCUUCUUCACCAAAAAAACAAACAAAAAAAACACAAAAAAACUGGAGUGAAAUAUUUCAGUUAUAUUGUGUAUAUUUUUUCAAUAUUUUAAAGACUAUGUGCUGCUAAAAUAGUGUUUAGGUGAUGUAUAUAUUUUGAAAAGAUAUUAUGUAUUAAAAACCCUCACCAAAACUCCAGUAAUGUGCAGAUGUUUCACUUAUUUCUUUCUAAUUAUUAAUCUAUGUGUGUAAUAUGUAGGAGAUUUUUGUUUUUUUUAUACACAGUUGUGAUCAUCCUACAUAAAAGAUUAUAUAUCUUGUUUCCAUUAAUAGACAUUUCUCUUUACAUCAACAACGAUUUCUUUACUAAUUUAUAUUUCUUCCAAAUGUCAUUAUAAAAUUCUAUAUACAUAUAUUGACAUGUUAGAAUUCUUUGAUAGUUAACAAACAAAACCCAAACUUGUUUAAGCCAGUAUAAAGAAAAUCGUUAGCUUAUGACCAUCAUUUAUAGGCACAAACAAUAUUUUCAUUGUCCUUUGUGGUGUCAGUCUCAUCUACAGGUUCUUCCAUUGACCCAUCAACUUGUCACAGAUGGCUGUGACUAAAGUGGAUGCCUGGGUACCUAAUAUAAUGAAUAACCCCAAAUGAAUCAUAAACUUAAGUGUAAAACUAGAAAACAUUUAGAAAAAAAUAUGAGACAAACUUAGGAAUCUAGGGAUAGAGAAAGGAGUUCUUAGACUUAUCAAAGCAUGAUUCAUAAAAGGAAUAAUUGUAAUAAUGGUGCCUUAUCAAAAUUAAAAACUUUGGCUCUGAGGAAGAUGCUAUUAAGAGCAUAAAGAGACAAGCCACGCACUGGAAGAAAAUUUUUGCAAACCACUUAUCCAACAAAGGACUGGUAUCUAGAAUAUAUAGAACUCUCAACUCAACAGUCAAAACAUAAAGAAUGAAAGGGAGGAGAACCCAAUUAGAAAAUAGGCAAAAGAUAUUUCACUGAAAAGAAUAUAGAUGGUAAAUAACCAAAUGAAAAGAUGUUCAAGAUCAUUAGCCAAUAAGGAAAUGCGAACUAAAAGCACAAUGAGAUAUUACUACACACCUUACAGAAAGGCUAAAAUAUAAAAUAAUGACAACACUCAGUGCUGACAAGGAUGCAGAGAAACUUGAUCAUUCAUACAUUGCUGGUGAAAAUGUAAAAAAUGGUACAGCCUCUCUGAAAAACAGUUUGGCAGUUUCUUACGAAACUGAACAUGUUACUACUAUACAAACCAGCAGUUAUAUUCUUGGGCAUUAAUGACAGAGAAAUGAAAAUUUAUGUUCAACCAAAAGCUUGUAUAUAAAUGUUUAUAGUAGCUUCAGUUUUAAGAGCCAAAAACUAGAACGAACCCAGAUAUCCUUCAACAGGUGAAUGUUUAAACGAUCCUAGUACGUCUAUACCAUGAAAUACUACUAAGCAAUAAAGAUGGACUGUUGACACACUCAACAACUUGGAUAAAUCUUCAGGGAAUUAUGCCAAGUGGAAAAGCCAAUCUCAAAAGGUUACAAACUUUAUGAUUGAAUUUGUGUAACAUUCUCAGAGGGACAAAAUUAUAGAAAUGGAAAACAUAUUCAUUAGUGGUUGCCAGGGGUCAGGGAUGGCAUGAGAGGGCUAGGGUAAGCAGUUAUGUGGGGGUGAUUAUGAAAGGACAUCAAUAAGGAGUCUUAUAAUGGAACUGAUCAGUAGCUUAUCUAUAUCCAUGUCAAUUUCUUGGUUGUGAUGUUUUACGGUAGUUUGGCAAGAUGUUACCAUUGGGGGAAAUUAGACAAAAGGUGCACAGUGUUCUGGACUGAAUGUGUAUGUCCCUUCCAAAAUUUAUAUGUUGAAACCCUUACCCAGUGAGAUGGUAUUAGGAAUUGAGGCCUUAGGAGGCAAUUAGCCUUCUAUGUUCUAUGAGGUCAUCAGGGUGGAGCCAACAUAAAUGAGGUUACUGCCUUUGUAAGAGUCAUGAGAGAGCUUGUCCUCUCUCUGCUCUCUGCUAUGGGGGGAUACAACCAGAAGUUGACAGUCUGCAACCCAGCAGAGCGUUCUCACCAGAUCUCAACCGUGCUGGCAGCCUGAUCUUGGAUUUCCAGCUGGCAGAACUGAUUAUAUAUUUUGGAAAGAAUCCUACAAUUGAUAAUACUGUGCCAAAUAUUCCACAUUAAGUGAAUUUUGAUUGAUUGAUUGAUUCAUGAGAUAAAUUUGUACUGCAGAAACCAAAAUGAGCAAACCUUUAAGGAAAAAAAAGAGCCAUCUGCUCACAGUGUAAUGCAGUGCUAACCAAGAUUUCACCAACAUAAUGAUUCAUAUCCGUGACAUCAAAUUUUGAUUUAUCUCCUGGUGAAACAGAAAACAACUUUCAGUGAGACUUGUGUGUCUGAGAAUUCUUUUGCCUUCAUAAAUGUUUGUGAAACUAAUUGUUGGUACAAGUCUUGAUUAAAAAAUGUUAAAUUCAGAUUGCUGUGGAUGUUGCUCUGAUUUGGUAGCACUUAUGUUCUUUGGUUGCCAAAAAAAGACUCAGAUUCAGCUAAUUCAAGUAAACAUAAAAGAGGAUUUAUAUGAAGGAUAGUAAAGUAGUUAAUGCUGAACAGUAAAGUCUGAGGACAGACAGAUCAAGGCAACACUGGGGCUGACAGCAGGAGUUCAGGGCAUUCUCAGCAGGGUGCAGCCUUAAAAUAAUAUAAUUCAGUAAACCCUCAGCAUCUCCAUUAUAGAGUAAUAUUUACAGGAGUGAAUAUUAUCUGUGUGUCAGGGGCUUGAGAUAUUUUGAUUGAGCCAGUCUGCAUCACCUACUGCCUCUCCCCGUUGCCAUAGAGAUUGGGAUUGGUUCCCAGGAGAAGGGGUAAUAGGCAAGCAAAAACAAUAGAAAUCGUUCUACAAACCCUACCUGUCUAAAGUCUUAGGCAAGCACUAACCCACUCCUUUUUCUAUAUACACAAUUCCUAAAAUGUUCUUGUUUUACACAAUGUACCUGCCACACAUGCAACUGAAAAUAAUCUUAUUUCAUUUAUAGUAUGAGAAAACCAAAAGUGAUUUUUGGCUACUGCUUCUGAAGAUGAUACCUGUGUUCUCUGGGUUCUGUCUAUUCCUCCUGUUGUUCUCUCCUCCUGUUGUCAGGAUCUCAAUAUUCUGUGAUCUGUGGACUAAACCAACACACUCUAUAUUCAAUAGUGGAUAAAAGCAAGAGAAAGAAAAGAAAUAUAUAUAAUAGAGUAAGCAAUGCUGUGAAUGAUCAUGGGAAAUAAACUUAUUACUGAUUUUUUUUCUAAUUUCUAUUUCAUAUAAUUUUAUCUUUGGCCAGAAUAUUCUCACGUCAUAUUUCUUUAUUUUUUAUCUUGUGACUUGAACUAAGUUAUCUGUCCCUUGAUGUUUGAGCCUCCAGGGGUCUUAUUACAUUGUCUUAGUUAAUAUUUAUUAUCAGGCCUGUUAGUACAUGGAGACAUCCUAGACUAUUCCUUGGAUUUCACCCAUAUUUCAGUAACAAUAUCUCUACUUCUCCUUGGUUAUCAGGUUAGUCAUUCUAGCAAAAUAUGUAGCUCUCUUCCAUCGCCAGCAGCCAUGAGAAGCUAGGUAGAAAUAUUGCUUUACUGGAUUAAAAAAAAAAUCUGGAACAUGAUAGACCACCAUCCUACGGCACAGAAAACAAGAUUUUGAGAUGUAAUAUUAGGUGUGAAAAUGAGAAGUACCAAAACCUUAUUCUACCCUUUAUUUUCUGGAUUCAUCUGUUCAUAGAUUUAGCAUUCUGGCUGAGGAAAGGAGAGCAACAUAUAUUUGUCAUGGGUUUAGAUUAUAAACAUCAUUUGACAGAAAAGCCAACCUGACUUCAUGGGAUGUUGUCUCUCUCCUGGAGCUAGAGCUGAAUAUGCAUUAAAUUUUUAUAAAGCCUGUUGUUUCUGUCAUUGGAGCAGUAAAAUUAAUGGUUAUCAACAGUGCAUUUUCUUUUAUAUCAAGUAAAUUUCUUAGUUAGAGACAGUACAUGCAGAAUAGCAUGAUAAUUUAUGAGGCAUUUAGUUAAUCCAGGUUGGAGGUCCCUGGCCAAGCAUGAUUAGUCUGAAAACAAAAACUCCACAUCUAGAAUAAAUUUCUGUCUGAUAAAGAAAAAUCUUCACCACAACUCCCACAUAUGGAAGGGUUCUAGUGUAAGCAUUUUGAAGCCAGCAUGUACUUGGCUGUUCACCUGAAAUAUGGAGCCAUAUUGAGAAAUCAUGCUUAAUUAUUUUUGCUAGUAAUUGUACAUUGAUAAGUGUGACUAAGUUACCUUGAGAAGAGGAAAACUCUUUUUUAAAGUUCCUCCCCACCAUCAUGCACAUUUUAAUCAUGAGCUCAUUAUAUAAGUUUUGGGCUACCUGGGAAAGAAGAUAGCUGACAUCUAAAAGUUAAUCUGGUAUACCUGAUUAGUAAAGUAUUUUUCUAAAGGGACAGACAUACUUUUAUGUUCUGGGCUCACUCCCAGAGGAGCAACUAUAGGCCUCUUCCAAAAAUUUCUUUUGAUCAAUUAUCUAUUUGCUCAAAUUAUUUGACUUUUUAUUUGAUCAUAACAACAUUCAUUUGUAAUCUACACAAACCACCUGGGCACAGCUCAAUGGAUUUUCACAAACUGGACACGUUGGCUCAAGCAGCACUGAGAUCAGUAAAUAUAGUAUUACACAUACUGCAGAAGGCCCCCAAUAUUUUUCUUUUAGUUUCUGUACCCACAAGAGUAACAACUCCUGAUUUUUAUUACCACAGAUUGGGUUUGCAUGGUUUUAAAUUUUAUGUAAAUAGAAUCAAAUAGUAGUUUGUCUUUUGUGCCUGGCUUCUUCAGCUCGACAUUAUAUUUGUGAGAUUCAUCCAUAUUGUUGUGUUUAGUGACCAGUGAUUUAAUCCUUUUUACUUCAAGUUAUCCAACCAAACCAUUACCGAUUGCCCAAGAGUCAACAUAGAUUGUUAUUCCAGGCAUCAUUCCUUCUACACUUAGUGGAUGUAGAGUUCAAAGUUCUGCCUCUUAUGAGGAUUUCCCUUCUCUACUCAUGGUCAGGGCCACUCUUAAGAGAGAAAGUCAAAGUUGUCUAUUUCUCAAUAGUGCUAACUUACAGAAUAGAAAUAUGUAUAUAUUUGUAUUAUAUUUGCAAUUUUUAAUGCUUGAUCCUACAGUUAUUAGUAAUGGCUUAUAGUUUGAGGUUGAAGGAGGGGAGGCCCUCUUCCAGUAGAUAAUAUCCUGAGGGUGUGAUAAACCUAUUCGUAUAACUCACUUGUACCUUCAGGGCCUGCUAGGGACUGUUUCAUAUAUGCUCUUGCCACACAAUGGUGCAGUACUUCUGGUCAUGCCCAAGUUUAUGGUUAGGCAGAUCAAAAAGCACUGAGAGGGGCUGGCCCCGUGGCCAAGUGGUUAAGUUCGCGCGCUCUGCUGCAGGUGGCCCAGUGUUUCGUUGGUUCUAAUCCUGGGCGCGGACAUGGCACUGCUCAUCAAGCCACGCUGAGGCAGUGUCCCACAUGCCACAACUGGAGGGACCCACAACGAAGUAUAUACAACUAUGUACCGGGGGGCUUUGUGGAGAAAAAGGAAAAAAUAAAAUCUUUAAAAAAAAAAGCACUGAGAACAUGAUGCAAGCUUAUAUCGUUUGGUUACAAGUCUACAUAUGCAAUUUUCCCUGAGAGAAAAGUAUUCUUUUUGCUUUGUUUUAUUUUUAAAAAUUAGAAUAUUCAUUGUUAAAGGUGUUUUUUAAAAAACAUCCAAAUCUCAGAAUUACCUGCUAAUGACACUCUUAUCAAUGUGUUCCAUAUGAUACUGAUCUUCCCUCAGCACUUUCAGCAGCAUUGGAUCUGUUAGAUCAUGAAGAAAGUGUAAUAGACCUGCUGACUUUUUAGUCUUGACCAUCUCAAUUGCUUUGUCUUUCUCGGAACUCCAGUAAAUAGUAAAAGAUUUUUAAAUAGAGUAAAUGGUAAGAGUUGGACAACUCUUUUGGAUGUAGGGUUUAAGGAACAACACAUCCUUCACUUUGGAGAGAAAAUGCAGGUGUGUUGUGAUCAGCAGAAUUCCCACAAGUCAUAUACAUGUCCUAUAUAAUCUCCAUUAGCAUGGAUGAAAUUUGUGAAUAUGAGAAAGGUAAUUCUGUGACGAAAAGGUGGGUCUCAUGUAGUUACAAGAGCCAUUUAAAAGUAGAAGGGAGUCAAAAGAUAAAAAUAAAAAAAAAAAUAAAAGUAGAGAGUUUUCUCUGGCAACAUGCAGAGAGACACGUCUCAGAGAUGCUCACCUGCUGGCCUGAAGGAAAGCAAUAGCCAGAUUGUGAACUGCCUAUGGGGGGCCAUAUGGCAAAGAACUGCAGGUGGCCUCUAGGAUCCAAUAAUGAUAACUGACUGACAUCUAGCAAGAAAACAGGGACAUCGAUCAUACAGUAUCAAGAUGAUUUCUGCUGAAAACCAGUGAGCUUGGAAGAGGACCCAGAGCCUCCGAAGAGUAUCACAGCACUGUCCGGACACCUUCAUUUCAGUCUGGUGAGAUCUCAAGCAGAAGAUCCAGAAAAGCUGUUCACCGAUGCCUGACCCAUGGAAACUGUCAGUUAAUAAAUUUCUGUUUUUUUAAGCUUCUGGGUUUGUGCCGGUUUAUCACACAGCAACAGAAAACUAGUAUACAUGCUCUGGACCAGUGAGAGUACUUACAUUUUCAAGAAAUCUAUUUUCCUUUCUUCUCAUGUGUGUUUUUAUUGUGGCACAAAGGUAAUUUGCUAAUCCUGCCUUCACUUUGAGUUAUUCACAAUGAGUAAGUGUCUAGCUUGGCAUUGUACUGCCUGGAGCCAAAUCCCCCUCAGCUUUUUCUUAGCUGUGACUGGGGGCAAGUUACUUAACAGCCCUGUGACUCUUUCUCCUCAAUUAUAGCAUGAAGAAUAUAAUAUUAACUCUUUCAUAGGGUUCAUGUUGAGAAUUAACUGAGUAUAUUAACACAUGUAAACAAUGAAUGUUAGUUACUGUUAUUGUUAUUAUUCUAGCUUUAGAUCCUAUCAACAUGAGAUCAACAAUGUAGUGGAAUAGUAUGAAAUCCUACAGGUUGAUGAAUCAGGUAAGGUUGCUGAAAACUGUAUUAUGGCCCAGAACUGGAGGGUAUAUAUCCCAGAGGCAGAAUAUCCCAGAGGCAGUUCCAGCCAGGUGCAAGCAAGCUACUCUGCUUUAAUUUGUGUUGCAAUGAAAGUGUAAUCGCCGGGUCAAUAAAAGCAUACCGGUUGCCAAGGCAUAAAUGUGUGUGCUCUAAAAAGCAGAAUACGUCUGGAUAACAGGCACAGUUGGACUUAUUAAAUGAUAAGUUUACAGUAAUUGAUUAUUAAAGAUUUAUUAGUCCUUUAUAGUAAUCAAAGUAGUCGAGAGAAUAAGGAUAUGCUAUGAAUCACAGGACAGGCACCUUUCAAGUUUUUGAAGUUUACACAAAUCUUCAACUCCCUCAGGGAUAGAAAAUAGAAAAAAUUUGUUUUUCUUAUUAUGAACAUGUGUGUCCAUUCUAUCAUAAAUUGACUAGACUCCAAAAGUGAAGUAGCCAAAGUGGAAGUUCUGCUGUAGGCCAAAAAUCCCAUUCCACUUACGCACUCAGAAAUUGAUAAAAAUAUCACAUUGGUUUCCCAAACUCAGUGCAAUUAAUGGGAAGCAAAUUCUGUUAGAAUUUAAAUUAUCGCCUUUCUACUCACAAUGCCCAUUAGGUAUAGUGAACUUCAUUUAAAUUCUCUUUCCCAGGAAUUAGUAUUAGCUUGAGGCUUAGAUCCAAUUGACCUUUUAGAGUUUUCUCUUUAUAAUUACAUGGGAUAAAGCAUCUGAUUUUUUAGGAGAAGGAUACAAGGAAGACUAAAGGAAGGCUAAAAAUCUGCACGCGUGUUUUCUUAAGCCUGUUUUUUUUUCAAUUCUUAUUGUUUUUUAUUUGGCUUUCUUAAAGCUUUCUGGGCUCCUAUUUAUUUGGCAAAUUUUCAUUUAUGAAUUGUUAGAAUCUAAAGAUUCUGUGACAGUGACUAUUAUGAGUACUCAAAUUAGGCCUUUUUGAUAUUUGAGGAAAAGUCUGAAGGAGGUAAGGGAGUAAGCUACAUGGGUAACUGUGGAUAUAACUGUCUGGACAGAGGAGAUAGCUUAUGCAAAGGUCCUGAGGCUUGUUCAAGGAACAGCAGCAAGACCAAGGUGGCUUCACUGGAAGAAAAAGUAGAAUAAUAGUAAGAGAUGAGAUCAGACCUAUAAAAAGGGCCCAGAUUGCAUUGGACCUUUCAGCCUUUUUAAAGCCUUUACUUUUAUGCUGAGUAAUAGGAGAAGCCAAACAGUGGUUUUGAAGGUACGUUUGACAUAGUCAAACAUAUGUUAAUUGCAUCAAACUGGCUGUUUUAUGUAGAAUAGAUUGUGGAGAGAAAGAGAAGUAAUUUAAGAGGUGGUUGCCUGCAGUCCACACUUGAGGUACCUAGGAUUCCUUUGGUUUUAAGCAACAGAAUCCAACCUAAUCAAAAACAAAUUUAAGAUAAAUUUAUUUAAAAUAAAAUAAAUUUAUGUAUAUAGGUAAAUAUGUAUAAGGUAUAUUAUAUAUGUAUAAUUGUAUAGGGUUUAUUGAGUAACGCCCUGGAGUAGCUCAAAGAUUUAAAGAACAGAUUAUUCAAGUCAAAUGUUGCAAAAGACAGAGAUCAGGCAGUUUUGGAGACUUCCCCAGCAGGAGUUUCCAAUACUCUUCUCUGUGGUGCACUGUAAAAUAAAGAACAUUCCAGCCUUGAGUGUCCACUCGUGACUGAAAUUGUUGAAAGUGAAAAAAGCCAUGGCUCAGCUUGGGUCAAGAAUACUCCUCAAAUCUGCCACUGAGGACAGAAAUGCUAGUGACUGUCAUUGGCCCAUCCUCAAUUACAUCUCACCAUUUUGGCUCAGCAAGUAGGGUUUGCUUGCUAAGGAAGAGAUAGAAAUCAUGGCAAGCAAAGUAAAAUCAUAUCAUAUCGUAUUGUAUACAUAGUUAUGUAAUUAUUGUACAGAUGACAAAUUUAAGAGCAAAGGUAUUUCUACUUUUAAACAUGCUUAUAAAAUUAUAUAUGUAAUUAUCAUAAUUUACAUAGGAACAUUUUAAAAUUAAUUUUCUUAUUUAAAAUAAGUGAAUCUGAGUAUUGACAAAAGAAUUCUCUCACUACUAGUUUAUUGCUUGUGAAUCUACUGUGUUUGCUCUGUUUUAUUUUGGGGAACAUCAUUUUUUUGUGUAUAAUAUUUAUCAGCUGCCUUCCUCAUGUUUUAACAUUCUUUUUCAUGAUUUCUAUCACUUUCAUUUUUUUCUAUAGUGUUCAUGUUUCUCAAAUUUCUCAAAGUUUAGAUUCCUACAUAUGCAUUAUUACAAAGGAUCCCAUUUCUUGUUUACUCCUUCCAACAACAUUAGUUCAACUAUUGGCUGAUAUUUCUCUUCACAGCUGUAUUCUAUGAUGGUGAAAUAAUGAGUAAAUAUCUGUUAGGUUAUUUUUCUAUCUUAUAGUACAUGUAUUUAUGGCGGAAUAAUAACAACUAAUAUCAAACUUCAACACGUGAUCCUCAAGACACAUUUUUGUUUAUUCGUACUUGAAUAAAAAGACAUUGAUCUGGUACUAGAAAACAAACAUGGUAUCUAGAUUGUGCAUGGUCACUUGCAAUCAAUAUUGGUGCCAAUAGAAUCCCAGUAGGUAUUCAUAAAUCACUAGCUUGCUUUCUAGAAAACCUACUUAUGGAGGCAAUAGAGCACAUUUUUGGUCAUUGACAGUUUCCUUAGCUAGUGCCACCAGUAUUGGAUUUUUAUUAUAUUCUCCCAGAUUCUCUUUAUGGCAAGUUUUUAUUUUUUGGUCUCAGGAUUGACAAAUUUAUUUUUCCUAUUUAUAGAAUUUUCUAGGAAUUAUAAACAUAAAUUUGGAGAAUGGGUUUUAAAAACUUUCCCAUAAAUUGUUUUUAUUUCUCUUGAGGGAGUUUUCCUAUUAUACCAUGGAAAGAAAUCGAGAGUUGUAAAAUCUGUUCAAUCUGUUGGUCAAAUGGUGUAGUAAAUGCCCUACAGACUUAAGUGGUAAAACCACUGGGUUAACCUCUAGAAACGGAUAUCAUUCUUUCUCCCCAAGUACAAGUAGAAAAACAUGGAAAAAUAAACCAAAGAUCAUAUGUUGAAUACAAGAAACAGAUAGUAUUAGUAUUCAUUUGGAAACCAGAAGGACAGAAGCAAGUAUAUGGGGCAGUGUUUUAGGCAUGAAGAAAGUAGGCAAGUCAGGACUUGAGGAACCAGGGUCCCAAAGAGUAAGGAAACAGACUUAGGUGAGCCCAGCAUCCUGUGGCAGUUUCCCUCACCAUAUUUACCAGUUAAACAUGACGUGGGACCGAGUGGCUAAAAGGUUGAGCAAGAAGUAGUACCCAGGGACCAAGAAACUUAGUUGAACUUUCAGCACCCUCAUAGGACUGAGACAAACAGUGAUCAUGACUACUGGCACAGCCAGCACUUGAAAAGCCAUGAUUUUCAAGAGAAAGGAAGUACGAUGAGUCCAAAUCUCUGCACUUUUUCCUCCAGACAUUAUGCAAUUCAUAAGCAUCCAGUAAGGUAAGAAUCAGUAAACAACCAUAAGAUGGCACAUGGGCCUGGUUAGAUAAAAAUUAGAGGUCAAGCCAAGGAGGAGAAGUCUUAUUAAAAUAUCCCAAGUAGAGCCCUGAGAAGCACAGUAGGAGCAAUUGCAAGUAAGAAAUAGAUCAACUUUCAAAACAGUUUUAUUUCAGACUGAAGUAGGAGGUAUGUUACUACUCUAAUUGCUUAUCACAAGAAAAAGUAAAUAACUCUGGAAGAUGGCAGUUUAGCUGAGCUUCAGGUUGACUAUACAAUUUUUCAUACAUGAUGCCUAUCAUACAAUAAAGCAAUUUUCAGGAAUGCUAGGAGAUGGGACCAAAUUUAUAAAAUAUAAAAAAUAGACUUGCAGGUAAUCUAGAUCUUAGGGCUAUCAGAGACUUAUUUUAAAAUGAUUGUGGUUAAUAUAUAAAGAAAAUAAAGUCAAGACAUUAUAUUUUAUGACAGAACUUAAAAAAAGAAUCAAGUGAUGCUUUUAAAACUGAAAAAAAUAGUAUCCAUAAUUAAAAGCUGAAGAAAAGCUUAAUAACAGAUUAGAAGCAGCAGAGAAGAGAAUUAUAGUAUGCAAAGGUAUAAUGAUGGAAAAUUUUCUGAUGGAGGCCAUGGAUGGAAAAUACAGAACAGGCCCCAGCCCCGUGGCGCAACGGUUAAGUUCACACAUUCCACUUCAAAUCAAAGAAGAUAUUUCCAAUAUGUUUACAUGAAAGGACACAUAACAAGAUCACUCAAAGAAUGUAUAGAAAUGGAAUAUGCUUCAGCAAUUAAAAAGAAUUAAAUUCUGAUAAAUUCAAUAAUGAGAAUCAAUCUCACAAACAUAAUGUUAGUCAAAAGAAUCGAACAUAACACAUCUUUAUAGUACGUUCAUGUCAAUAUAAUUACAGUUAUAUAAGUUUUAAUAACAAGCAAUAUUAUUUAUCUUAGGAGUCCCCAGUGCGAUUGUCUUGGUCAGGAAGUUGGGUAGUGACUAUAAGGGGACACGAGGGUGGAUUCUGGAAAGCUGGAAGUGUUCUCUAUCUUGAUCCAUAUGUGGUGAUUAUAUAAAUAUCUUCACUUAGUAUGCAGUCACUGAGCUAUAUAGUUAAGAUUUAUUUUAUUUUUUAUAUGUAUAUUAUACUUGAAUAAGCAAGUUCCUUAAAAGUGGCCAUGGAGCACCAUGCAAACUUUAAGAUGAAAUGAUGUACAUUUUACAGAAUGUUACCAAGAAAUUUUUAGUUUGAAAAAAAAGUCAUGUAUAAAUGUAUAAUAAAACCUAUUUUGUAUAAAAGGGAGUUUUGUACAUGCAUGCAUAAGUGUAAGUAAAUGCAGUGGUAAUGACUGAAAAGAUGCGUAAUAAAAAUGCUAACAGUCUUUUUUUUCUGGGGAAGUGAGUGCAAGUAAAGAAAGGUGAAAGAAGAUUUCAAGUUUCUCAGAAUUUAUUUUUUAUGUUUUUGAUUUUUUAAAUGUAUUUAAUCUUUUAUGGAACUGUUUUAAUGUAUGACUUGUAUAUUGAAAAGGGGUUGGGGUAAAUAUUCAACAAAAUUAUCAUGCUGUUAUGGCAGGACCUUUGCCACUGUUUGUGAAUCAAAAUGCUGAGAAGGUAGGAUACAGAGACAGAUUAGAUUGAUAUCUAAAAAGAAAUCGUGGAAAGCAUGAUUUAAUGUCCAGGGUAAUGUCUCAGUAGCAGUGAAUAUUCACUGAUUAGGAAAUAAUCAUCAUCAACCCACUUUGGGCUCACCUGACACUAGAGCCUACAACUCUGUUUUUUGAACUAUAUUUUCUUUUUACUAAUAUUUUUCUAAGUUUCACUAUUGAAAUCAAUAGAAUCAACAUUCUGGAUUUUUCUAAGUAGUCGAUUGCAUUGAAAAGGCUAAUAUAUGGGCUGGCCCGGUGGUAUAGUGGUUAAGUUUGUGGACUCCACUUCAGUGUCCUGGGGCUCACAGCUUCAGAUCCUGGGUGCAGACGGACCUACACACCACUCCUCAGGCUAUGCUGUGGCAGUGUCGCACAUACAAAGUGGAGGAAGGUUGGCACAGAUGUUAGCUCAGUGACAAUCUUCUUCAAGCAAAAAGAAGAAGAUUGGCAGCAGAUGUUAGCUCAGGGUCAAACUUCCUCACCAAAAAAAAAAAAAAGUAAUAUAUGGUUAGAUUUGUAAGCAAAAUAAUGUUCUAAACCAAAAUUUCCUGAUUAACUCCUUUUGAUUUUAAAUUUCAACUUCAUUCCCAUGAUUCUGACCAUAAAAAUUACAGACACGCCAAAUUAAUAAUACACCCCAUCAAAUGGUUAUUACUUUACUUUCCCCAGCUUCAUGGCUGCAGAGCUAUUUCAGGAUUUAGUAUUCUUAAUCACUUUUAUUGAUAAAAACAUGUAUAUUUAGUCUAAGUGCUCUAAAACAAUACAAGUAUUUUUUUAAAAUAAAUAUUUUAAUUCAUUGAUUAUUAUUAUUAAAUUUUACUCUACAUAGUUACUUGAAAUUCAGAUUGCAUCAGGCAAUCGAUGUAUAGGUAAUUUCACUUAUACCAACCACUUGUUUCCUUUGGGCUAGAAAUGAUACAUAGUAGAAAUAUUAUUAAAAUUUUAAACCUUAUGUUUCUUAAAGUAGUUAAUUGUUAUUUGCCUUGGUAUUUGAUCAGCUUAUUUGUGAUCAGCCGUGUGGAUCUGGAUUAUCUUAAGGUCACAGUAUAAAACACAAUUUUAAAAAUAAUUGGUAAUGCCCAUUGUUAAUAUUGGCCAUUGUAAUCUUGCAGAUUAUUUAUUGCAUCAAAAGUUUAAAUCAGAGUCCACUAACUGGCUACCAGUUUCAUUAGAAACUUGCUGAGUUUCUAAUAUGUAAUUUAUUUGUAAGUGACCUCAUUAGGAAAUAUAUUAAAAUAGUAUCUAUGUCAACAUUUUACUCUAUAGUUAAAAUAUAAAGAGUAAGAAUAUUUUUUUAUAUAACUUUAUGACUUGGCUUUAUUUUACUGAAUAUGUAACAGAGCUCUGCAGCUUGAUUCAAAUUCUUUAGUUAAAUGGUCACAGGUUAAGAUUCACUAUGUGAACUUUGUUUCAUGGUAAAUUUUUAAUGUCUAUUGUCAACAUGUUCUUAGAAAUAGGAGAGGCAAUUUGAAGUAAUUAGAGAUGAUGUUAAAUAAUUUUCUGAGAAAAAAGUCAAUCUAAUCUUAUAUUUUAUAUAUCUUUCUGUUUCUCUAUUUAAUUGGUUCUUAAAUGAAAUGCAUAUGUUUG